rnacentral:rRNA from 1 species
CAUGCAAGUCGAGCGGAACGAUCCUAGCUUGCUAGGAGGCGUCGAACGGCGGACGGGUGAGUAACGCGUGAGAAUCUGCCCAUUUGUGGGGGAUAACUCGGGGAAACUCGAGCUAAUACCGCAUAAUCCCUACGGGGGAAAGCAGGGGACCUUCGGGCCUUGUGCAGAUGGAUGAGCUCGCGUCGGAUUAGCUUGUUGGUGAGGUAAAAGCUCACCAAGGCGACGAUCCGUAGCUGGUCUGAGAGGAUGAUCAGCCACACCGGGACUGAGACACGGCCCGGACUCCUACGGGAGGCAGCAGUGGGGAAUCUUGGACAAUGGGGGCAACCCUGAUCCAGCCAUGCCGCGUGUGUGAAGAAGGCCUUCGGGUUGUAAAGCACUUUCAGUAGGGAGGAAGGCUUACCGCUAAUAAUGGUGAGUACUUGACGUUACCUACAGAAGAAGCACCGGCUAAUUUCGUGCCAGCAGCCGCGGUAAUACGAAAGGUGCGAGCGUUAAUCGGAAUUACUGGGCGUAAAGCGCGCGUAGGCGGUUUGUUAAGUCAGAUGUGAAAGCCCCGGGCUCAACCUGGGAAUUGCAUUUGAAACUGGCAGGCUAGAAUGCAGUAGAGGGAGGUGGAAUUUCCGGUGUAGCGGUGAAAUGCGUAGAGAUCGGAAGGAACACCAGUGGCGAAGGCGGCCUCCUGGACUGACAUUGACGCUGAGGUGCGAAAGCGUGGGGAGCAAACAGGAUUAGAUACCCUGGUAGUCCACGCCGUAAACGAUGUCUACUAGUCGUUGGGAAUCUUAGUAUUCUUGGUGACGAAGUUAACGCGAUAAGUAGACCGCCUGGGGAGUACGGCCGCAAGGUUAAAACUCAAAUGAAUUGACGGGGGCCCGCACAAGUGGUGGAGCAUGUGGUUUAAUUCGAUGCAACGCGAAAACCUUACCAACCCUUGAAAUCUAGCGAAGUUCACAGAGAUGAGAUGUGCCUUCGGGUCCGCUAUGACAGGUGUGCAUGCUGUCGUCAGCUCGUGUCGUGAGAUGUAUGGUAGUCCAGUACGAGCGCAACCCUAUCCUUAUUGGCAGCGCGUUAAGCGG